rnacentral:lncRNA from 1 species
GCUGCGCACUUCGGUCUUUUACGUCGGCCUUCGCGAGCGUCUGGGCGGGUGGAACAAUGGCGCUGUCUUCAGUGGCACAGUGGAGCAGCUCUGAAGAUGCAAAGAUACACGAAAAAACUUCCAGAACAUCUGGGAGAAUAUUUAAUGGAAAAUCGCUUGGUUAAAACCUGACACUUUUAACAGUGAACAGCGUUCUGAGUGUGGACGAGUAGCCAGUGAAGAUAAUGAAUGUCGAAUGUGACUGACUAGCAGCUUCAUUUUGAAUGAGGGUCGCUGUCUGCCCAUUGAUAGAGGCCAGAUUGUCUUGGAAGUUCCAAAGUUGCAACGAUUUCUGGCUAGUGCCACGAGGUUUACUUGACUGUUGUGUGAAAAGCUGAUAAGAAAACCAUCCAGAAAAAAGCUCUUCGUUUUACAAACAUGAAAAUAAAACAUGUAAUUUUGGAUUAUGUUCCUUUUUGUUAUUACUUUUAAAUAGGUCCUGAAAUAACAUGGGGAGCAUUAAAUGGAAAAUCCACUAA